AGUGAACGCUGGCGGCAGGCCUAACACAUGCAAGUCGAGCGGCAGCGGGCUGUAGCAAUACAGUGCCGGCGAGCGGCGGACGGGUGAGGAAUACAUCGGAAUCUACCUUGUCGUGGGGGAUAACGUAGGGAAACUUACGCUAAUACCGCAUACGAACUACGGUUGAAAGCGGAGGACCGCAAGGCUUCGCGCGAUUGGAUGAGCCGAUGUCGGAUUAGCUAGUUGGCGGGGUAAUGGCCCACCAAGGCGACGAUCCGUAGCUGGUCUGAGAGGAUGAUCAGCCACACUGGAACUGAGACACGGUCCAGACUCCUACGGGAGGCAGCAGUGGGGAAUAUUGGACAAUGGGCGAAAGCCUAGACGCAGCGACGCCGCGUGGGUGAUGAAGG
rnacentral:rRNA from 1 species